AGCAUUGUUAACUGGAUGACUAAUCCGUGAGUCACUAAUCCGUAACUAAUCUUACUUUUAACAUCAAAUAUCCUCAACAAUAAAUUAGCCAUGUGUUUGGUUCAGUGUGCCAGGCAACUCCAGAAAACUGGAUGUAUUGAAUUGACUAUAAUUCAUUUAACCACAGUUCUGACACAGCUUCCAGAAAUUAAACUGCAAUAAGAGGCUGUUCUGAGGUGAAAUUUCCUGCCCAACGGAAUUACUUUUUGGGGCUAUAAUAAGAUGCUCUAUUUAAUCGACUGGCGAUCCCAGGGUGAGAGCCUUCUCUGUGGGGGCACCAGCCCUCUGGAAUGAGCUGCCCCUAGAGAUCCGUAUGAUCCCCAACCUGCGUACCUUUCGCCGCACCCUAAAGACUCUUUUAUUCCAACAAGCCGGGCUGGCCUAAUAGGAAUUUUUAAAUUGGGUGUUUGUUAGUUUUUAAUUUCGUGGGCCAAAUUUUAUAUAUUUGUUUUUAAAUUGUUCUUAAAUUUUGUGGUUUAUAUGUGUUUUAAUAUGGCUGCACACCACCCUGAGUCCUUUGGGAGAAGGGCGGUAUAGAAAUUCAAUAAAAUCUAAAUC